rnacentral:rRNA from 1 species
GCGCGAAACCUUUACACUGCACGCCAGUGCGAUAAGGGGACCCCGAGUGCGAGGGCAUACAGUCCUCGCUUUUCACGACCGUAAGGUGGUCGUAGAAUAAGUGCUGGGCAAGACCGGUGCCAGCCGCCGCGGUAAUACCGGCAGCACGAGUGAUAGCCACUCUUAUUGGGCCUAAAGCGUCCGUAGCCGGCCGAACGGGUCCGUCGGGAAAUCCACCCGCCCAACGGGUGGGCGUCCGGCGGAAACCAGUCGGCUUGGGGCCGGAAGACCAGAGGGGUACGUCCGGGGUAGGAGUGAAAUCCCGUAAUCCCGGACGGACCGCCGGUUGCGAAAGCGCCUCUGGAGGACGGACCCGACGGUGAGGGACGAAAGCUUGGGUCUCGAACCGGAUUAGAUACCCCCGUAGUCC